rnacentral:rRNA from 1 species
CCUACGGGUGGCAGCAGUGAGGAAUAUUGGUCAAUGGACGAGAGUCUGAACCAGCCAAGUAGCGUGAAGGAUGACUGCCCUAUGGGUUGUAAACUUCUUUUAUAUGGGAAUAAAACGUUCCACGUGUGGGUUUUUGUAUGUACCUUAUGAAUAAGGAUCGGCUAACUCCGUGCCAGCAGCCGCGGUAAUACGGAGGAUCCGAGCGUUAUCCGGAUUUAUUGGGUUUAAAGGGAGCGUAGGUGGUUUGUUAAGUCAGUUGGGAAAGUUUGCGGCUCAACCGUAAAAUUGCAGUUGAUACUGCAGUCUUGAGUACAGUAGAGGUGGGCGGAAUUCGUGGUGUAGCGGUGAAAUGCUUAGAUAUCACGAAGAACUCCGAUUGCGAAGGCAGUUCACUAGACUGCAACUGACACUGAGGCUCGAAAGUGUGGGUAUCAAACAGGAUUAGAUACCCGAGUAGUC